AAACAGACGGUCGCGUGGCCAGGCCGAAAGGCCGGUCAUGAGGAAAGUCCGGGCUCCACAGGGCAAGGAUAACGGGUAACGCCCGCCCAGAGCGAUCUGAGGAAAAGUGCAACAGAGAUAUACCGCCCGUGAGAUUUUAUCUCACGAGCAAGGGUGGAAAGGUGCGGUAAGAGCGCACCCGACGGCUGGGAACAGUCCGUCGCUGUAAACUCUAUUCGGAGCAACACCGGUAUGGGAGCGUAUAGGCUGGCCCGGCCGCUCCCGGGGUGGCUUGAGCGUGCCGGCAACGGUACGCCUAGAUAGAUGACCGUCCGAUACAGAACCCGGCUUACAGUUUUGCUC
rnacentral:RNase_P_RNA from 1 species